rnacentral:rRNA from 1 species
GACGAACGCUGGCGGCGUGCUUAACACAUGCAAGUCGAACGGAAAGGCCCUGCUUUUGUGGGGUGCUCGAGUGGCGAACGGGUGAGUAACACGUGAGUAACCUGCCCUUGACUUUGGGAUAACUUCAGGAAACUGGGGCUAAUACCGGCUAGGAGCUCCUGCUGCAUGGUGGGGGUUGGAAAGUUUCGGCGGUUGGGGAUGGACUCGCGGCUUAUCAGCUUGUUGGUGGGGUAGUGGCUUACCAAGGCUUUGGCGGGUAGCCGGCCUGAGAGGGUGACCGGCCACAUUGGGACUGAGAUACGGCCCAGACUCCUACGGGAGGCAGAAGUGGGGAAUAUUGCACAAUGGGCGGAAGCCUGAUGCAGCAACGCCGCGUGCGGGAUGACGGCCUUCGGGUUGUAAACCGCUUUCGCCUGUGACGAAGCGUGAGUGACGGUAAUGGGUAAAGAAGCACCGGCUAACUACGUG